rnacentral:lncRNA from 1 species
AUGUGUCCGUGCGCGUCCGAGUGUCUGUCUGUCCGUGCAUACGUCUCCUCUCAGCUGUCCCACUCAGCCAAGGGCGUGUUGUCCUCUCCUCUCUCCUCAUCUUCAUCUGAGUCGGAGGAGACCUUCUUCAUCCUCUGCAUGGCUGCCUUGAUGCUCUUCUGCAGAUCCGUGUCCCUGCUGUCCUGGGGCAGGGGCACUGCUGGGACCACCUGGAGGGGACAUCAGAGCAGGGUCAUCAAGUUAGCCAGUGGGACCGGUUCAGAGGGCUACCCAUCAUUUCAAGUGUUUGUCACGUGCACUACUACAGUGUUUGUCACGUGCACUACUACAGUAUUUGUCACGUGCACUACUACAGUGUUUGUCACGUGCACUACUACAGUGUUUGUCACGUGCACUACUACAGUGGUUGUCACGUGCACUACUACAGUGGUUGUCACGUGCACUACUACAGUGGUUGUCACGUGCACUACUACAGUGGUUGUCACGUGCACUACUACAGUGGUUGUCACGUGCACUACUACAGUGGUUGUCACGUGCACUACUACAGUGUUUGUCACGUGCACUACAACAGUGUGUCACGCGCACUACAACAGUGUGUCACGUGCACUACUACAGUGUUUGUCACGUGCACUACUACAGUGUUUGUCACGUGCACUACAACAGUGUUUGUCACGUGCACUACUACAGUGUGUCACGUGCACUACUACAGUGUGUCACGUGCACUACUACAGUGUGUCACGUGCACUACUACAGUGUUUGUCACGUGCACUACAACAGUGUCACGUGCACUACAACAGUGUGUCACGUGCACUACUACAGUGUUUGUCACGUGCACUACAACAGUGUUUGUCACGUGCACUACAACAGUGUUUGUCACGUGCACUACAACAGUGUUUGUCACGUGCACUACAACAGUGUUUGUCACGUGCACUACUACAGUGUUUGUCACGUGCACUACAACAGUGUUUGUCACGUGCACUACUACAGUGUUUGUCACGUGCACUACAACAGUGUUUGUCACGUGCACUACUACAGUGUGUCACGUGCACUACUACAGUGUGUCACGUGCACUACUACAGUGUUUGUCACGUGCACUACAACAGUGUUUGUCACGUGCACUACUACAGUGUUUGUCACGUGCACUACAACAGUGAAAUUACUUUCUUUCUCAACAAUGCAGUAAUUAAUAUCAGUAGAAAUCCAUAA